GAUGAAUGCUGGCGGCGUGCCUAACACAUGCAAGUCGAGCGGCAGCGCGAGUAGUUUACUACUUGGCGGCGAGCGGCGAACGGCUGAGUAACGCGUAGGAAUGUGCCCCAAAGUGAGGAAUAACUGCCCGAAAGGGUAGCUAAUGCCGCAUAUGGUCUUCGGAUUAAAGGAUUUAUCCGCUUUGGGAGCAGCCUGCGUACGAUUAGAUAGUUGGUGAGGUAAUGGCUCACCAAGUCGACGAUCGUUAGCUGGUCUGAGAGGAUGAUCAGCCAGACUGGAACUGAGACACGGUCCAGACUCCUACGGGAGGCAGCAGUGAGGAAUCUUCCACAAUGGGCGAAAGCCUGAUGGAGCAACGCCGCGUGAAGGAUGAAGGCCCUCGGGUCGUAAACUUCUUUUAUGAGUGAAGAAUAUGACGGUAACUCAUGAAUAAGCACCGGCUAACUACGUG
rnacentral:rRNA from 1 species